rnacentral:rRNA from 1 species
UGGGGAAUUUUUGACAAUGGGGGAAACCCUGAUCCAGCCAUCCCGCGUGUGCGAUGAAGGCCUUCGGGUUGUAAAGCACUUUUGGCAGGAAAGAAACGUCAUGGGUUAAUACCCCGUGAAACUGACGGUACCUUCAGAAUAAGCACCGGCUAACUACGUGCCAGCAGCCGCGGUAAUACGUAGGGUGCAAGCGUUAAUCGGAAUUACUGGGCGUAAAGCGUGCGCAGGCGGGUCGGAAAGAAAGAUGUGAAAUCCCAGAGCUCAACUUUGGAACUGCAUUUUUAACUACCGGGCUAGAGUGUGUCAGAGGGAGGUGGAAUUCCGCGUGUAGCAGUGAAAUGCGUAGAUAUGCGGAGGAACACCGAUGGCGAAGGCAGCCUCCUGGGAUAACACUGACGCUCAUGCACGAAAGCGUGGGGAGCAAACAGG